GCCCAUAUAGCUCAGUUGGUAGAGCAAUUCCAUGGUAAGGAAGAGGUCGCAAGUUCAAUUCUUGCUAUGGGCACCA
rnacentral:tRNA from 1 species